UACGUAGGCAGCAAGCGUUGUUCGGAAUUACUGGGCGUAAAGAGUGUGUAGGCGGUGUUCUAAGUUUGUCGUGAAAUCUCCCAGCUUAACUGGGAGGGUGCGGCGAAAACUGGAAUGCUAGAGGAUGGGAGAGGUAAGCGGAAUUCCUGGUGUAGCGGUGAAAUGCGUAGAUAUCAGGAGGAACACCUGUGGUGUAGACAGCUUACUGGACCAUUUCUGACGCUGAGACACGAAAGCGUGGGUAGCAAACAGG
rnacentral:rRNA from 1 species